rnacentral:rRNA from 1 species
ACGAACGCUGGCGGCGUGCUUAACACAUGCAAGUCGAGCGGAAAGGCUCCUUCGGGGGUACUCGAGCGGCGAACGGGUGAGUAACACGUGAGUAAUCUGCCCUUGGCUUUGGGAUAAGCCCCGGAAACGGGGUCUAAUACCGGAUACGACGCACUCUCGCAUGGGAUGUGUGUGGAAAGUUUUUCGGCCAGGGAUGUGCUCGCGGCCUAUCAGCUUGUUGGUGGGGUAAUGGCCUACCAAGGCUUCGACGGGUAGCCGGCCUGAGAGGGUGACCGGCCACACUGGGACUGAGACACGGCCCAGACUCCUACGGGAGGCAGCAGUGGGGAAUAUUGGACAAUGGGCGGAAGCCUGAUCCAGCAACGCCGCGUGAGGGAUGACGGCCUUCGGGUUGUAAACCUCUUUCAGUACCGACGAAGCGCCGAUGAUGGUGGUGACGGUAGGUACAGAAGAAGCACCGGCCAACUACGUG